rnacentral:rRNA from 1 species
UACGUAGGAUCCGAGCGUUGUCCGGAUUUACUGGGUGUAAAGGGUGCGCAGGCGGACUGGUAAGUCAGUGGUGAAAUCUCGUCGCUUAACGACGAAACUGCCUUUGAUACUAUCAGUCUUGAAUCCGGUAGAGAUCUGUGGAAUUCCGAGUGUAGCAGUGAAAUGUGUAGAUAUUCGGAAGAACACCAGUGGCGAAGGCAGCAGAUUGGGCCGGUAUUGACGCUCAGGCACGAAAAGCAUGGGGAUCAAACAGG